GGCGCCAUCGUCUAGCGGUUAGGACGCCGGCCUCUCAAGCCGGUAACACGGGUUCGAUUCCCGUUGGCGCUACCA
rnacentral:tRNA from 1 species